GACGAACGCUGGCGGCGUGCUUAACACAUGCAAGUCGAACGAAGAGCGAUGGAAGCUUGCUUCUAUCAAUCUUAGUGGCGAACGGGUGAGUAACGCGUAAUCAACCUGCCCUUCAGAGGGGGACAACAGUUGGAAACGACUGCUAAUACCGCAUACGAUCUAAUCUCGGCAUCGAGGAUAGAUGAAAGGUGGCCUCUACAUGUAAGCUAUCACUGAAGGAGGGGAUUGCGUCUGAUUAGCUAGUUGGAGGGGUAACGGCCCACCAAGGCGAUGAUCAGUAGCCGGUCUGAGAGGAUGAACGGCCACAUUGGGACUGAGACACGGCCCAGACUCCUACGGGAGGCAGCAGUGGGGAAUCUUCCGCAAUGGACGAAAGUCUGACGGAGCAACGCCGCGUGAGUGAUGACGGCCUUCGGGUUGUAAAGCUCUGUUAAUCGGGACGAAAGGCCUUCUCGCGAAUAGUGAGAAGGAUUGACGGUACCGGAAGAGAAAGCCACGGCUAACUACGUG
rnacentral:rRNA from 1 species